UAUUUCUGGAGCUCAAACGAGCAACACCUCCGGAACUGAGCUCCAAAUUCUCUGUGAUUUUACAAAAUUAAAAAUUUUUCGGCUAGUUUUAAGCAUAAAGUGAUUUUUUUGUAUUUUAUUUUUAAGUGAACACCACAAUACAUACAUAAAACUCUUGGUUGGUCAUAAAUCUACAUAGAGAUAAAGAGAGAGCGAUCCACAUCUUUGGCACACAACGUUCGACAGGAUGAAUAACACUCUGGAACGGUUUUCUUCCCCUUUGCAGAAUACUACUAUACAAUACACAACACAAAUGACAGCACUCUGGAAAUCUCUGGAGAACUCUGGAAACAGCUGGAGAUGCGUAGAACUUUGCGGUGGAUAUCGCAGAAAAGAGCGAUUCAAUCUACCACAAGGAAAUAUCUGGAAUCGGCAUCCAGUAGAUGGAGAACACUUAAGGAUGGAAAUUGAACCAAAAGGCGAUACAAUCUACCACAAUAAAAUAUCUUCAUUCAGGAGCCCGUAGACGGAAGACACAAGCUCGAUCACAAAAAGACACAAUCUUGGUUAUAAUAGAAUAUCUGUAAAUAAUAAUAAUA